AUGAAUGGGAGGGCUGAUUUUUGAGAGCCGAAUGCAGAAGUUCCAAGACCAAUUCCCCACAUAGGGGCUGAUUACAUUCCAACAGAAGAAGAAAGAAGAGUCUUUGCAGAGUGCAAUGAUGAAAGCUUCUGGUUCAGAUCUGUUCCUUUGGCUGCAACAAGUAUGUUGAUUACUCAAGGAUUAAUUAGUAAAGGAAUCCUUUCAAGUCAUCCCAAAUAUGGUUCCAUCCCUAAACUUAUAUUUGCUUGUAUCAUGGGAUACUUUGCUGGAAAGCUUUCUUACGUGAAAACUUGCCAAGAGAAGUUCAGAAAUCUUGAGAAUUCCCCUCUGGGAGAAGCUUUACGCUCAGGACAGGCACGGCUAUCUUCAUCAUCUGGGCACUAUUCUCAGAAGUCAAAAUAUGACUCAAAUUUCGGUGGUCAUUCAUCUUUUGUGACGUCGCCAGCCGCAGACAACAUAGGAAAAGAGAUGCUUCCUCAUUAUGAGCCAAUUCCAUUCAGUGCUUCUAUGACUGAAUCUACUCCCACUGGUAUUACUGAUCAUAUCGCCCAAGGACCUGAUCCCAACCCUGAAGAAAGUCCUAAGAGAAAAAAUAUUACAUAUGAGGAAUUAAGGAAUAAGAACAGAGAGUCAUAUGAAGUAACUUUAACACAUAAGACUGACCCCUCAUUCAGGCCUAUGCAGGAAAGAAUGCCAAAAAAAGAAGUCAAAGUAAACAAAUAUGGAUAUACUUGGGAUGAGUGAAAAAUUGCAUCAUUGGACCUACUGAAGGUGUUUCAAUAUCCAGCUUCAUCUAGGUGGUCAUGAAUAUCUGCAUGCUUUGAGCUCAGCAGCAGUCUUCAUAAACACAUUUAAAACUAGAACCUGGGUUCUUGUGGUUUGGCUUAUUAAAAUGAUGUUUAAAAACACAGAUUUUAAUGUGAAUGUUGUGUGAAUGUAUUCACCUUGAGGAACUGUAUGAAUGAUGAUAUUAUACCAUGAUCACAUAUAGUUUGUGAAAUCGUUUUAAGUUACAGGGUAAGGAUACUCUCUUAUGAAACUACAAAGAGAUUGUCUACUCUAGGAUCAGCAUAUAUAAAAAUAA